CCGCACUGAAAAAAAGUUUUUAAAAGCGUAUGCAUGUUUAAAAAUGUUAAAUAGUUAAACAACACUUGCGGUGAAAAUAUGAAGUGUUUAUUCUGAGUUGAAAAGACCGUACUUAUAUCUAGUAUUCUUAAUGUAAUUUAAAUAAUGUCUUCCUUUACUAACUGCAUGUGACUUUGUUCUACUUAUAUUGUUUAAUACGUACUGAUGAAUUCAGCAGCAAAUUGGCUAAUGCUGCUAAUGCUUUUUACAUUUUUUUUUCACAAUGAACAGUCUUCUUUGUGUAGUUUUCAUUAUAUUGCACUCUUAUUUUUCAUUAUGUACAUGCCUGCAAUUCGCAGCUCGCUGUUUUUGUUGUUGUAUGGUAUUGUUGUUUUGCCUUCAUUUGUUUUGUCUGGUCCUUUGUAGUUUGAAUGUUGUCACAUGAUCCAAAUAGGACAAGGUUGUAAUUUUUUCUUGAUAUUGUUACUCUGCUUAGCUAUAUAUUUUUUCAUUAUUUUGUUUUUUUUUUUACUAGCUGCAAGAUCACCACCCCAUUGGGAAGAAACUAAAUCACGACCCCCAAAUGGUAGUCUUCCCAUGCAGAUACAGGGAUGUCACACAGAUCCAAAUGGAAACAGGACCAAUGGUGACAAUAUAAGACCAUGCCGAGCUUCAUGGACGGUUCAAACUCAUCCUGCCCAGGAACGGCUGGUAUGUUUUUAUGUCUGAGACAAAUGUUGUGCUCAGUGGAAAUCUGGAUAGGCUUAUUAUUCCUUAUAUUAGUUAACAAUUGGACAUAAUUGAUUAUUUACUCUUUGUUUAUUUAACCAAUCAACAUUCUCAUUAGCUUAUGCAAAUCUUGAAUAUAAAGAGGCCAGAAAUGGUGUUGAUUGUCUAAAAAAAGAAAGUUUGAUUGACACGUGCUGACUUUUGGAACGUUGGCCUGAACAAUGAAAUGGAAUCAACUGUGAAUUUUGAGGAUUUAGUUUCUCUAAAGAACAUAAUGUCAAUUGUACAAAUAAGUAAAAUGUAACUUUUUGUGUUUGUUUUUUUGCAGAUAUGAAAUGCAUAUUUAUAACUUGUCUAACAAGUAGCUCAUUCAAAGGUAUAAAAAAGUAUUUUUUGGCCUGUGUAGGGUAUUAUUUUAACUAUGUAGCCUACAGAAUGCUUGUAUGGGCUCAUGUAGGUGUCUGCGUACGUUUGUAUUUAUAUAACAUAUGUCCGUGUGUAUAGAUUAUGUAUUUUUCAGGGAAGGACCAUAUUUGUGGCUGACCCCUAUGUUGUUGCAACAUGGUGAAAGCCUACAGGAUGUGACCCACACAUGAAUUUGCCUAAAACGUUGACAGUCAAUCAACAGGGGGACAUGGAAAGAGAGGAUUGGAAGUGAAAUAGAGGGUUUUUCGGGACAGCCAUAGGGGAAGGACUGUGGCAUCUUCAUGUUGAUGACUGAUAUGCCAACUCUGAGGAAGUGGUGGUGUAUAUUGCUAGCGGACAAUUUCAAACUUGGGUGCAUGGUGAGCCACAGGAAAGCGUUUGCCCAUUGGACAGACAAGGCAAAAGCAUUACUGCAGGGUGAAGUGCCACCAGUCUAUCAGCUACAGAAGUGAAAUUUGAAUAUAAUUGCUGAGGAAGAGGUGCAACCACAGCUCCUUCAAGUUAGUGGUGGCCCACUCCAAAAAGAUACGGCGGGAAAAAAUGUUUUGGUAAAAGGAUUGUGCCAGACAGCACAAAAGCCUCGGACAGGGCUGGGGGG